UGUCUUCGCACGUCCUCACGUAUUUCCUCUCUCUCCCUCUCCUCUUCCUCACGUAGAAAACCCUCUCUCAUCACAGUCGAACAUAACCAGAACGAUGAUAGAAGAAACCAUAGAGAAGGAAGAAGAACCCAAGUACUCACACAUCUGAACCAAGAAGAAGGAAGAAAAAAAUAAGCAACCAAACAUCCCUGGUUCCAUAUCCAUCCUAUUCACUGCCAAACUUCGAUACCGAGCCGUUGAUUGCGUCGAUUAAGGUUUGUUUCACGGCACUUUUAAAAAUUGCGAUUGUGUGAUGUUCCAUGUGAAUUUUCCAAUCAUACUCAUGAAUUAAUUGCAAAUAUUACCUUUAUUUUGGAGUUAUUGUACUUAGGAUACUGAUUGUUGAAUUGGAAUUCCUUCUGCUUCUUUUCCAUUGUAAUUUAUCAUUGACUUAUAUUCAGUGUAAAAAAUAGAAAAGGGGGAGAAAAUGGCUCUUUCUUUCACUACAUUACCAUGGGGGUGGUUGGCCGGUACAGAGAAAGAGCAAGUCUCGAAUGGGACAUCAAUGAAUUCGAUAAAUUUUUCCUUCACCCCAGUUGCAGCUUCCUUUCUCCAUUUUAGUCGAAAAGCUUUUCCAGAAAGUGUUGGAGCCUUUACUUUUUAAUUCUCAAUUUUCUGGAAGGAGAAUUUAAGGGACACUGUCAAUCAAAAUAUUAAAUAACAAAACUGUAUUCAGCAACAAAGAAAUAAAAAAGGAUGGUUUUUAUCUAUCAAUUAAUUUAUAUCAUGUGUAACAAUGGUAUGCUGGUAAUCGUCCGUUUAUAUGGCCCUGUGGGAUUUGAAAUUAAUAAAUGCUAACUUGAUGGAGUCGUAUUGUGCUUUUUUUCAUAUAAGGAUGGUAUUUAAGCUCCUAGCAUAUGAUAAACAUCACUCGAUCUUGAUGAUUUGUCAUUUUAUGUUGAGUUGAAAUGAUGUAGUGUUUAGUUUUCUUGGCCAUGGUCCUUUUUCAUGUAUUGACUCAUCAAAAGUAGUUGCUUUCCUGUGUUUCGGGCGUCAUUCCCUCUCCUGAUCUAACAAGUGCAUAAUGUAGCAAGGGUUGUCGCACACCUUUUAGUUAACUCACUUGAAUAUUUUGCAAUUUUAAAGAGAUCCUCAAGUGUUUAUGAAGUUGAGAUAGGUACACAUUUGCUACCCUGUUACAUUUCUAAUACUUAAAUGUCUAUUACAAUUUUGGCCAAAGUGCUAUAAAUGAAUUUUUAAUUAGUAGUUACAAAUGACAGGUACACGGUG
rnacentral:lncRNA from 1 species